rnacentral:rRNA from 1 species
AACGAACGCUGGCGGCAGGCCUAACACAUGCAAGUCGAGCGCGCCCUUCGGGGUGAGCGGCGGACGGGUGAGUAACGCGUGGGAACGUGCCCUUUGCUACGGAAUAGCCCCGGGAAACUGGGAGUAAUACCGUAUGUGCCCUUCGGGGGAAAGAUUUAUCGGCAAAGGAUCGGCCCGCGUUGGAUUAGGUAGUUGGUGGGGUAAUGGCCUACCAAGCCGACGAUCCAUAGCUGGUUUGAGAGGAUGAUCAGCCACACUGGGACUGAGACACGGCCCAGACUCCUACGGGAGGCAGCAGUGGGGAAUCUUAGACAAUGGGCGCAAGCCUGAUCUAGCCAUGCCGCGUGAUCGAUGAAGGCCUUAGGGUUGUAAAGAUCUUUCGUGGGGGAAGAUAAUGACUGUACCCCAAGAAGAAGCCCCGGCUAACUCCGUGCCAGCAGCCGCAGUAA